AUAAAAAUUCCAAGAACAACACUUUAUUCGUGCAUUUAAAUAUCAUUUCCUCACAUAUAAAAUGGAAGAUUUAAGAAACUCAUACGCAGUCGAAUUCUGAUCCUCCUUGGCCGAAAUCAGUCAAAAAUGGAAGUAAAAUCCAUAUUUGUAUUCAUAUUAACGAUUGGGGUAGUUAACAUGGAAUUUUAUUUUGCCACGCCGUUCUAUUUUGCGCUGAUGUUACCAUCAGCUCCGGGUUUAUCAGCUCCGGAUUUAUCAGCUCCGGAUUUAUCAGCUUCGCAAGAAGUAGAAGAUCUUCAUGGUCAAACAACACCACCGCCAUUUGUCAAUGGAAGCCGACUGACCAUACCGGCCUCGUGGUACAGAUCGGCACCCGCAUCAAGUGUACACCGCUUAUACUACGGACGAGAUAAAAUGUGGCCAUUUUAUAUAGUCCGUGUCCGUCGUGGACAUGGAAACGAAAAUCUGAAAUUUUUAAUUUAACAAAUAUUUGGGCAACAUUA